UGUAACACGCACCUCCUACUCAUAAAACUUCAUCAUCAAGUUCUCUUGUUUAUCUCAAAAUGCGAAUUCAUGGCGUAGCUUAGAUCAUUACAAAGGUGCCUGAUACCUUCCGGAUGAGUGGUAGCUAGAUACCACUGGAAACUGUUGUGGCGGAGUCAAUUUUUUUGGGAAAAAGUAUUUUAAAAGCCUGGAUAUUCGGUACAUUUACCUAUUGCGUAUUCAAAAUGCUACAAAUAUUCGUCGGCUAUAUUACUGAUCUCAUUGGACAAUGGACAUCAUAAAUUUCUACCAUAAGUACAAUCAUACUCUGAAAUUAGACGAUGUAAUCAUUUUUAUUUUGUGAAAAUGUUCUACUUUACCUAAUUUGAAAAUGUAUUUUGUAAUAAUUCAUUUUGUCGUGCCCAAAUAAUUCUGUCUGUGUGGCAUUAUGUACCUAACUCUAAUAUGAGUUAUCUUAACUUGUAAGAGUAUCCGGAUACUUUAGUAGAUUUAAGCAGUAGGUAGGUUAGAUUGGUAAUUAUUAUCGUACCUAUUUGUAUAUCAAUCGCUGAUGUAUUCUUGAUUGCAUUCAUUAUUUUUCAUGUCAUGUUCAAUUGUAAUUGUAUAA